CUAUACAUGACUCUGCGCAUAUCAAUAAGCGGAGGAAAAGCUGUUACCUACGCUUAGGAUGUUGACGAGACUGUCGAUCUCAUCUAUACAUGACUCUGCGCAUAUCAAUAAGCGGAGGAAAAGAAACUAACUAGGAUUCCCUCAGUAACGGCGAGUGAAGCGGGAAGAGCUCAAAUUUGAAAUCUUCAAGGUUCUACCUUGACGAAUUGUAGUUUAAAGAAGUGUUUUCUGUUGGAGUUUUGGUAAAAGUUCUUUGGAAUAGGACAUCAUAGAGGGUGAGAAUCCCGUAUUUGGUCAUUCCUUCCUAGCGUUGUGAUACACUUUCAACGAGUCGGAUUGUUUGGGAAUGCAGUCCAAAAUGGGUGGUAAAUUUCAUCUAAAGCUAAAUAUUGGCGAGAGACCGAUAGCGAACAAGUACCGUGAGGGAAAGAUGAAAAGAACUUUGAAAAGAGAGUUAAACAGUACGUGAAAUUGUCAAAAGGGAAGCGUUUGACACCAGUGUUGUUUUUCCGAAAAUCAAUUACGAAUGUUUUGUUUUUAAGAAGUUAUGACUUCAUCGGCUUGCUUCUUUCUUUACGAAACUUUCUUAAUGCACUUUUCGGUUAACAAGUCAACAUCAAUUUCUUUUGUUGUAAAAGGGUAUGAGGAAGGUGGCUUUCUUUUCGGAGAAAGUGUUUAUAGCCUUGUACCUCUGCAAUCGGAGAGAUUGAGGUCUGCAGCGUAGAUCCUUCGGGGUUAGAUACAUUUGUGCUAAGUUAUAGCUUUUCAUAGACAAUUUGUUGACUAUGUUUAGUCUUGUAGCUUACUCGCUUAUGCUAUUUUACCUACGCUUAGGAUGUUGACGAGACUGUCGAUCUC
rnacentral:rRNA from 1 species